GAGGAAAAGAAACCAACAGGGAUUGCCUCAGUAACGGCGAGUGAAGCGGCAACAGCUCAAAUUUGAAAUCUGGUCCUUGCGGCCCGAGUUGUAAUUUGCAGAGGAUGCUUUUGGCGCGGUGCCUUCCAAGUUCCCUGGAACGGGACGCCUUAGAGGGUGAGAGCCCCGUACGGUUGGACACCAAGCCUUUGUAAAGCUCCUUCGACGAGUCGAGUAGUUUGGGAAUGCUGCUCUAAAUGGGAGGUAUAUUUCUUCUAAAGCUAAAUACCGGCCAGAGACCGAUAGCGCACAAGUAGAGUGAUCGAAAGAUGAAAAGCACUUUGAAAAGAGGGUUAAACAGCACGUGAAAUUGUUAAAAGGGAAGCGCUUGUGACCAGACUUGCGCCCGGUGAAUCACCCAGCUCUCGCGGCUGGGGCACUUUGCCGGCUCAGGCCAGCAUCAGCUUGCCGUCGGGGACAAAAGCUUCGGGAACGUAGCUCUCUUCGGGGAGUGUUAUAGCCCGUUGCACAAUACCCUUCGGCGGGCUGAGGUACGCGCUCCGCAAGGAUGCUGGCAUAAUGGUCAUCAGCGACCCGUCU
rnacentral:sRNA from 1 species